rnacentral:misc_RNA from 1 species
AGCGGCCUGUGCAAUAUGUCAAAUUAAGUAUAGUACACCCAAAUAUAUAUUUAGCUGUAUGCGUUACAAAGCUAUACUCUAAAGUAACGCAAAAAAGUAAAAAUAGAAAAUACAUAAGAGCAGUAAAAUUUACUUUGUAGUGACAGACUCAUUGGAUUGAUAUUUGUGUUUAUCAUUGUGUUUUGAGAAUACGGAAGUGAUAGCUCGGCGGAUGUGACAAAUAUCUCGUGAAAUUAAUUUUGUUAUUUGACGUGGCCUUCCGUCUCGAGCAUUCUAAACUAGGAGUUACACUGAUAGAGUCAACUAGACGAUAUAACUGAUGUUUUAGGAUCGGAGACACCUGUUCCAAAUACAAAUAAUAACAAGCCGAAUCACAACAAUACAAUUAACUGCACAAUACGCGGACAUAAGAGAAAAGUAACGCAAUCUUCGUAAAUAAUUAAUCAACCCCUUAUUAGCUAGAUACCAUAAUGGGAGGAUCACACGGCAAGGGGUCGCAUACGAUCACACAACCAUCAGAUCCAAACCCCCAAGUUACUCCCCUCAUGCGCGCUGUACAGGAGAUGGAUCUUCCCAAAAUGAACGAAAUCUUAGACGGACAGAAUGCUAACAUUGAUACUGUAAACGGUGCAGGUCAAACCGCCCUUGAUAUCGCCUUGUUGCAUUCAGCUGCUAUUGCAGACGCGGAUGAUGAAGCUGAAGUCAAACGUGUGUGUAAUACGGCUAAAUUACUUCUCGCAGCCGGCGCAUCAAAAGUGUCAAGGGACACACUUUACACAGUGUGCACACAGCUAAGAAAAGUCGAUAGAAAAUAUAACCCUCUGGUCACGUUAACAAAGAUCGUCGCAGAGAAUUCGACGUCCAAGGAUGUCAAGGAACUUCUCCUGCAGGUUAUAAUCUGGUACCAAAGGCCUGAUUUGAUGGAAAUGUUGAUCAAAUCUGGAGCGGAUACAUUAUCCUUCUGGUUGGCGCACAACAAUAUGACCGAGCACAUACCAUGCCACGAGAGCGUAAGCUACUACGAGAGUAACAACCUCAUACCGCCACACGCCAUAGAAAGCUUCAUCAAAUCGGUGAAAAAAUCCAACAAGGCUGAAUUGGUGAAAUAUAUCGUCUCUGAUAUGGCUAAGUAUCCAACAGCGGCAAUUGACAAUGAAGCUAUCAAAGAGAAACUUGAUGUUCUUCAGCAACACGGUGCUACUAUUACGGAUGAGAUGAGGGAUUCGGUCCUGAACAGGUUGCAGUAAUAACACUUGUAAUACCAUACUAUACCAUACCAUACCAUACCAUAACAUGCCCUACAUCGCCAUGCCCGUAUCGAGGGCUCGUGCGAUUUCGGGCAACAUUUAGAUUUUCCGGCAAAAAUUAGACAUUUGAACAAUCGGAGCCCGCUUGGAAUCUUGUUACGUCUGUGAUUUAUCAUACUGAAAUGCGAAAGAGGCAGACGGGCCAAGUGCUUUUUUGUGCAUGGAUGGAAUAAGCCCUAUUCACAAAUCUGUAUCUUGGACGCUUAUACAAGUUGUAUAUGGAAGUUGGGAAAUGUGUUUUAUGUUAGAACACAUUAUGGAAGAUAUAACAGUUUGCAGUAAAACAACUAUAAACAUGUUUAUUCGUUUAUUUUUCCGUUUUAAUCGUCCAAAUGCUUGUUGUAUUUGACUUAGUUAUACAUUUUGUUACAAUCCAUGGAAAUACAUGUACGGCAACAUGAGUUGCAGAAACACCAUGGCGUCAACAUACAGAGCGUUCAAUAAAUACUGUUAAAAGGCUUUUUUGAUUCUAUUUUUCACGUCAUAAAUUGGACAAUGUAAAUGCUGUACUUUUAUUAAUACUUAUUGAACGUAUUGCAUUGAUGUUCGCCAUCAUUUUUGUCCAGAAAUAACAUUCAAACAUAUUCAUCAAAUAUAAUUUAUAUGAACAGAUUAAAGAUGAUUAGACAACUAGAUUAUGUAUGUUAUUUGCCAUCAACAUGACAUUUCGAAAUAAAUUAGCAUUGUCAUAUUUUCAGACCGUUAUACUUAAAAUAUGAUCCAUAAAGAGGGGAAAAUAUCCAUGAAUUCAUAGAUGAACAUUUUUUGAUAUAAAAUGAGAUUCAUCUUUACCUGCUGAAUCUUUGAAUUCUGGGACAUUUCGCUCUUAGAUUAUAUUUACCUACAUCGUGUUUCUAUGUUUUCUUUGAAAUUUAAGAGGUCGCUAUCU